AUUGAACGCUGGCGGCAGGCUUAACACAUGCAAGUCGAGCGGGGGAAGGUAGCUUGCUACCGGACCUAGCGGCGGACGGGUGAGUAAUGCUUAGGAAUCUGCCUAUUAGUGGGGGACAACAUCUCGAAAGGGAUGCUAAUACCGCAUACGUCCUACGGGAGAAAGCAGGGGAUCUUCGGACCUUGCGCUAAUAGAUGAGCCUAAGUCGGAUUAGCUAGUUGGUGGGGUAAAGGCCUACCAAGGCGACGAUCUGUAGCGGGUCUGAGAGGAUGAUCCGCCACAUUGGGACUGAGACACGGCCCAGACUCCUACGGGAGGCAGCAGUGGGGAAUAUUGGACAAUGGGGGGAACCCUGAUCCAGCC
rnacentral:rRNA from 1 species